rnacentral:rRNA from 1 species
AAACGUCUCAGUUCGGAUUGUAGUCUGCAACUCGACUACAUGAAGCUGGAAUCGCUAGUAAUCGCGGAUCAGCAUGCCGCGGUGAAUACGUUCCCGGGCCUUGUACACACCGCCCGUCACACCAUGAGAGUCGGGAACACCCGAAGUCCGUAGCCUAACCGCAAGGGGGGCGCGGCCGAAGGUGGGUUCGAUAAUUGGGGUGAAGUCGUAACAAGGUAGC